rnacentral:tRNA from 1 species
GAGGGUAUAACUCAGUGGUAGAGUGCGCACUUACCAUGAAUGAGGUCCUGGGUUCAAUCACCAGUACCUUCA